CCACCACAGAGGCCCUCACAGCUGGCAGGCUCACUCCCCCUGCAACCAGUGAAGGGAAAAAGGAAAGUAGCAGGAGGAAAAGGGGCUGGCUCUUAUUUAAAAAGAAGAAACAAAGAAUCUCUGGACAACAGCCAAGGCAGGCAUCCAGAAGUAGGAAUACUUUUCUUAGAACACAGCCCAGAUGCAAACAUCAGGAGCAGACACUGCCCAGAUGGCUGCUUUACCCCAGCUGAACUCCUGAGAGGCUUUGGUGGUGGCCAGCCCUGUGCACCAAGCUGGAGUAAGCCGUCUCUCCCCAUGGGGGAAGCA
rnacentral:lncRNA from 1 species